rnacentral:miRNA from 1 species
GUGUGUGUGUGUGUGUGUGUGUGUGUGUGUGUGUGUGUGUGUAUAUAUAUAUAUAUAUAUACACACAUAUAUAUAUAUACGUAUAUAUAUAUUCACAGACACACACACUCACAGACACACACUCAC